GCAGACGCUGCCGCCAGCACCAGCACCGUGUGCAGCAGUGACUGCACCAUUCCCAGCACCUCUGGUCUGGAUGGCAUUCCAGAGCGUGUGCCACUGCAAAGUCGCGGCGAUUACUUGCAGUUUGUUCUACCGUCGUUUGGCCCUUACGAGGACAUCUUACGAAGGAAAGUACCCAUAAGUGGCCGAGUUCGACGCGCCAUUACAGAUGGGCUAUUUCAAGCCUGUGUGAAGAUAGCGUGGCUGCCCAGUAAGCUGCUCUAUAGAACGGC